rnacentral:rRNA from 1 species
GAUCCUGGCUCAGGAUGAACGCUAGCGACAGGCUUAACACAUGCAAGUCGAGGGGCAUCAUGAGGUAGCAAUACCUUGAUGGCGACCGGCGCACGGGUGAGUAACGCGUAUGCAACCUGCCUGAUACCGGGGUAUAGCCCAUGGAAACGUGGAUUAACACCCCAUAGUACUUUAUCUCGCAUGGGAGUGUGUAGGUUAAAUUAGUUUCUAAGGUAAGUCGGAGUGGGCGAUGCGUCCUACUUUAG